GGAGUUGUGGCUCGGUGGUAGAGCUCUCACCUAGCAUGUGUGAGGUGCUGGGUUCAAUCCUCAGUACUACA
rnacentral:tRNA from 1 species